rnacentral:rRNA from 1 species
AACGAACGCUGGCGGCAGGCUUAACACAUGCAGGUCGAACGCCCCGCAAGGGGAGUGGCAGACGGGUGAGUAACGCGUGGGAAUCUACCCAUCUCUGCGGAAUAGCUCCGGGAAACUGGAAUUAAUACCGCAUACGCCCUACGGGGGAAAGAUUUAUCGGGGAUGGAUGAGCCCGCGUUGGAUUAGCUAGUUGGUGGGGUAAAGGCCUACCAAGGCGACGAUCCAUAGCUGGUCUGAGAGGACGAUCAGCCACAUUGGGACUGAGACACGGCCCAAACUCCUACGAGAGGCAGCAGUGGGGAAUAUUGGACAAUGGGCGCAAGCCUGAUCCAGCCAUGCCGCGUGAGUGAUGAAGGCCUUAGGGUUGUAAAGCUCUUUCACCGAUGAAGAUAAUGACGGUAGUCGGAGAAGAAGCCCCGGCUAACUUCGUGCCAGCCGCCGCAGUAAGAC